CCAUCUUGAGAUAGAAAGAAGGACCAUUGUCAUGAGUAGUCAAGUUAAGAGAGACAAGCCAAAUGGAGAUCCUAGGAGCUUGAAUAUAAUUUGUUUGAUUGCUUGAGUGUUUGCUAAGUCCAAAGGAAAGGAGCAUCUUGAAUCAUCUAUAUGAUUUCAAGAAAAGGAACUCCAAGGGUUUUAUCUCUUCUCUUAUCUUUGUAUGCUUUAGGAUUAGCCCUUCUCUUCGUCUCCACUCUAACCCAAGCCAAACUCUUUUGUGCAAACUUUGACUUUG
rnacentral:lncRNA from 1 species